rnacentral:rRNA from 1 species
AACGAACGCUGGCGGCAGGCUUAACACAUGCAAGUCGAGCGCCCCGCAAGGGGAGUGGCAGACGGGUGAGUAACACGUGGGAACGUACCCUUCGGUUCGGAAUAACACAGAGAAAUUUGUGCUAAUACCGGAUACGUCCGAGAGGAGAAAGAUUUAUCGCCGAUGGAUCGGCCCGCGUCUGAUUAGCUUGUUGGUGAGGUAACGGCUCACCAAGGCGACGAUCAGUAGCUGGUCUGAGAGGAUGAUCAGCCACACUGGGACUGAGACACGGCCCAGACUCCUACGGGAGGCAGCAGUGGGGAAUAUUGGACAAUGGGGGAAACCCUGAUCCAGCCAUGCCGCGUGAGUGAUGAAGGCCCUAGGGUUGUAAAGCUCUUUUACCUGGGAAGAUAAUGACUGUACCAGGAGAAUAAGCCCCGGCUAACUUCGUGCCAGCCGCCGCCGUAACAC